rnacentral:rRNA from 1 species
AGAGUUUGAUCCUGGCUCAGGAUGAACGCUGGCGGCGUGCCUAAUACAUGCAAGUCGGACGGGGUAUAGAAGCAAUUUUAUACUUAGUGGCGAACGGGUGAGUAACGCGUUGGUGACCUGCCCCAAAGCGGGGGAUAACAACCUGAAAGGGUUGCUAAUACCGCAUAUGGUCAAAAGAGAUUAGAAACUUUUGAUUAAAGGAGAAAUCCACUUUGGGAGGGGCCUGCGUCCCAUCAGCUAGUUGGUAGGGUAACGGCCUACCAAGGCGAAGACGGGUAGGGGACCUGAGAGGGUGACCCCCCACAAUGGAACUGAAACACGGUCCAUACACCUACGGGUGGCAGCAGUAGGGAAUAUUGCACCAUGGGCGAAAGCCUGAUGCAGCAACGCCGCGUGAGUGAAGAAGGCCCUCGGGUUGUAAAACUCUUUUCAAGAGGAAGAGGAAGGACGGUACUCUUGGAAUAAGCCUCGGCUAACUACGUGCCAGCAGCCGCGGUAA